GUGGGGAAUAUUGGGCAAUGGGCGAAAGCCUGACCCAGCAACGCCGCGUGAAGGAAGAAGGUUUUCGGAUCGUAAACUUCUAUCCUAGGUGAAGAUAAUGACGGUAGCCUAGAAGGAAGCCCCGGCUAACUACGUGCCAGCAGCCGCGGUAAUACGUAGGGGGCAAGCGUCGUCCGGAAUGAUUGGGCGUAAAGGGCGCGUAGGCGGCCUUCUAAGUCCGAUGUGAAAGUCCUGCUUUUAAGGUGGGAAUUGCAUUGGAAACUGGAGGGCUUGAGUGCAGGAGAGGUAAGUGGAAGUCCCGGUGUAGCGGUGAAAUGCGUAGAGAUCGGGAGGAACACCAGUGGCGAAGGCGACUUACUGGACUGUAACUGACGCUGAGGCGCGAAAGUGUGGGGAGCAAACAGGAUUAGAAACCCUGGUAGUCC
rnacentral:rRNA from 1 species